CCAAUAGCGUAUAUUAAAGUUGUUGCAGUUAAAAAGCUCGUAGUUGAAUUUCGGGGUCAGCAAGUUGGUCGUGCCACCGGUAUGCACUGGCUUUGCUGAUUCCUCCUUCUUGUAGAACCGUAAUGCCAUUAAGUUGGUGUUGCGGGGAAACAGGACUGUUACUUUGAAAAAAUUAGAGUGUUUAAAGCAGGCUCACGCUUGAAUACAUUAGCAUGGAAUAAUGAAAUAGGACGUUUGACCCUAUUUUGUUGGUUUCUAGGAUCAACGUAAUGAUUAAUAGGGAUAGUUGGGGGCAUUAGUAUUCAAUUGUCAGAGGUGAAAUUCUUGGAUUUAUUGAAGACUAACUACUGCGAAAGCAUUUGCCAAGGAUGUUUUCAUUAAUCAAGAACGAAAGUUAGGGGAUCGAAGACGAUCAGAUACCGUCGUAGUCUUAACCAUAAACUAUGCCGACUAGGGAUCGGAUGAUGUUAAUUUUUUAAUGACUCAUUCGGCGCCUUACG
rnacentral:rRNA from 1 species